rnacentral:rRNA from 1 species
CACACACUCUUCAAGUAAGUUGGAUUGACUUGGUGUAAUAAUUUAAUCAUCACAUCAAGGAAAGUAGUCAAAUACUUGCCAUCUUUUGAAAGGGGAGGAGAAGAGGGACUUCUAAAACCCCAUUAAAUAUGUUAAGACCUCAAAUCAGGUGGGACUACCC